rnacentral:lncRNA from 1 species
GAUCGAAAUUUUUGAUGAAAUGAUUAUUCCACGACUUAUAUAUCACUUGUAAACGUGAAAUAUACUCUGUCAACGGUUAGUAGCAAAGAAAAAGUGAAACUGUAAUUCUAUAAUGUUCAGAAAUAACUGUUUGAAAAAUAUCGUGAAAAAAAUCCGUAUAUAAAUGUUUCAAAAUGAAAAAUUCCUGAAAGUUUUACAAUUAUAUAAUAGAGAUACAUAGUCCAGUUGACAAUUAUCAUUCGAUACGAUAUAUUACAUAUUUUUGUACAUCUACGCAGUAACAAAGAAAAAAAAAUUGAAAACUUACCUUGCUUUUCUUUUACGGCUUUGCAGUUUUAUGAAGAUAAAAGAUGAGAAUAUUCUAUUCUUCUUCUAUUCUCUCUAAAUGAGAUAUCAUGAGGAUUAUUUCCAAGCUAAAACUCGUAUAUGUAAUAACCUAUUGAAGUUAUUUAAAAUAAUUAUUUCAAGUGUGAUUUGAAAUGAUCUAUGAAAGGAGUAAAAAAUCAAUAGACAUUUUAAAAAACUGUGGUACAUAAUUACAAAGUGCGAUACGGACGGAGCGAUCAGCAGGCCGAAUUCCUCUUCAGUUCUUCACGCGUGCAUAUGUUACACUUUUUAUAUAAUACAUACAUUCAGUCAUAGGUAAUACGUAAUAAUUGAAAUAUUGAAGUUUUCUUUACUUGUAUUUUCGAUAUUUCGAUCAGUUGAAUAGUUAUAUGGAACACCAAGUUGGUUCGUUCCAUAUAGAUUCAUUUCAUCGCAUUUUACUCUUCCUUCAUGUAAAUAAUUAUCGUCGAAAUAAUAUAGACGAAAGAUGUAACAAACUAAGAAAUUUGAUAAUUCCACGAUUUUAUAUAUUUUGAAACUUUUAUUAUCGCUAUUUGUAUUGUUUUGAAACAUAAAGGAAACGAUAAAUUUCUUUCUUGCAAAAUAUUAUUAUUAUUAUUAUUAUUAUUAUCAUAAUUAAUAACUUUAUCAUCAAAAAUGCUAAAUUAAAAGAAACGUUUUCCUUUAUUUCCAUGAAACUUGAUUAAAGUAAUUACCGGACACAAUACUUUCUAUGUAAAUCGUACAUUUGAUAAAUUUCAAUGGUAAUAUUUCCGUUUCAGCUUUCUUUGAUUUUUAUGUCGUUGACAUUUCUAACAUUUUAUUUCUCUCAAAAUUUAUUUUAUUAAAAUUCAUCGUUUCCUCCAUUCUUUUCGUUCCUAUUUUCGUAUCAAAAAAAAAAAAAAAAUUGCGUUUUGGAAUAUUACAAACAUCGUUUAUAAUCAAUUAUUUUAUAAAUAAAUAAAAAAAAGGACGCUAUUCUUUUAUUUAUUUCAUUAAAGGAUAUCUUCUGCUUGUUUUCUUUGAAUCACAUUUGUUUAAUUAAAAGUAUAACGGUAUAAUAUUAAUUCGAUGGAAUCGCUGAAAGUAUUUUUAAUUUCGAAAUUUACGUUUCCAAAAAAUAAUUAAAUUUUUCAUCUUUUCUAUAUAAUAUUUUGUUCAAAAUGUAAAUCCUCUUCCUAUAUUCCUAUAUUCCUUGAACAAAAUAAUUUUAUUUUCUUUUUUUUUUUUGCAAUAACUUUUGCACGUUUUGAAUUUCUCUGAAUUUGCAUAUAUAUAAUACGUAUAUAUAUAUAUAUCUAUCUUACAGAUAAUACUAAUAACAACGCGAAAUAGAAAAAUUACAAGGGAAACGUAAAUUUCAAGCAACGUCUUUUUUUUUUUUUUUUUUUCUUUACGAAUACAUAAAUCGAUCGAUCGAUACAAUGGUAUUAUCGAUGAAUCUCAUUAUAAACUUGUAAUUAAUUACAAAUCAUCGUGCAUUUCUCUUAUAUUACAUAAAUAAAUAUUCACUGACUAGUGUGCAAUAUUGGCUCGCAACACAAUCGCAAUUAAAUUAAUUAUGUAAGUAUUUACGAAACUGCACAACUUUUUCCUCCCGUCAUCUAACGCUUAAAUAAUAAUUAAUGAUUUUUGAAUUCGGCGCGCCGAAGGGACACUCCGAUCCGUUUCCUUUUUUUCUUCCUUUUUUUUUUUUCUUUUCUUUUCUUUUUUUUUUUUUUAUACAAAAGCUUAUACAACAAGUAAACAACAAAAAAGCUUGAAACGCCGAGCAAUUUCGAUUUAUCGUGUUCCUUCUUACUUUCUCGUCAUUCCCCAUUCUUCAUCAUUCUUUCAUUCCGUUUCUGUUUUCAAUUCACAAAACAAUCGGUAGGAUUUUUCGUCGACGUUCCUUUUUUUUUAGGUUAGGUUUCCUCUCCGUCGACUUUCUUUAAAUGCUUCCUUCCCUUUCUUCCCCCUCCCCCCCAUAAAUUUCUUUAUUUUUCACAAAGUAUGCAUCCAUGGAAUACUUUUCCCCAUCUUUUUCGAAUCGAUCGAUCCUUUUUUUUUUUCAAUCGAUUUUACAACUUUACAACCAACGUAUACAUACAUACAAUAUGUUACAUGCACGGGAACGAAUUGUACGAACGAAUCCGUGACAUUAUUGGUUCUUCUAAAGAAAAAUAUAACAGUAUCAGUGAAAAGUUUCAACGCGUGUCAUAUCGAUUUACCCGAAAAAAAAAAAAAAAAGAAAAAGAAAAAAAAACGAACAAAUAAAAUAAACAUUGAAAUAUACAAUGUAUAUACAAUGUAUAUUUGUAAUUUGAAUGUGAAAUAUUUCUCGAUACGAAUAUUAAUCGUAUUAUUCGUAAUGCAAAACGUAAAUGUAUAUAUUUAUGCAAAUACAUAUAUACGGUAAAACGGUAUACCGGUUUAUUUCUCGGAGCAAAUAUUUAUAUAAAUUGAGGAGAGGGAGGGGGGCAAAAAAAAAAAAAAGAAAAAAACGUUUAAAAAGUCAAAUCAUCAUCGAAGAAAAACUCGGAUCGAGUAAGAAAUAGAUCACGCGAGUCAGAUCACGAGUUUUGUAUUUUAAAUGUUUUCGUGUUUCGAUGAACGCACGAAUACAUGCGUUACAAUAGAAGAUGAGAAAUAUGAAUAUUCGAUGAUAAAAUUUAAGUGAUAAGGAUGCAUAAUAAUCGGUAUUCCAUUAUUAUACGUAUGUAUACAUAUACCGAGACACAUACGGAUUUAUGUACAACUCACGAUAACAGUUAAUUUAAAAUUUUUUUUUUUUUUUUUUACAUCUUGGAAUUAUUACAUUGUUACAGCGUUAGUCGCUUUUAUCUUUCGCAAAAGUAAUUUGUUCCUUCCCCUUUCUCGAAGGAAUUUCAUUUUAUUUUCGAAGAUACCUAAUUCAUAACCUCAAUCCGUUCCAACAGUGGCGAAUAAUCCUUUGCUAAAAACGCAUGAAAUGUCGUAAGAAAAGUUUUUACAAAGAAUCGCAACAACACGGCACUGCGAAAUAGUGUACUAUUUCCAUGAUUUGCGCAAUACUUAUGUUUUUAUCACAUCGUUCGAUGUUAUUUCCAUAAUAUUACGUACCUCUAUAGAGUAUUUCCGACAAUUCUAUAAUAUAGUAUACAUAUGUGUAUUUCAUUUGACCAAUCAGAAAUAACAAAGAUUUUACACGAUGCGUAACCGCGUCUCUAUUAUAUUUAACAUUUUUCGUUACUUCGAUAUUAUUCGGUAAUUAUAUAAAAGAUUACUCGAAAAACGUACCGUAAACAUUGGUAAGAUUAGUUUUUCUCUUUUUAUAUUUCAGAAAACAAAUAUAUGAUCGAUUAAAAUUGAAAGGAUAAAGAAUCGGUCAAAACUGUAUCGUUGUUGUUGUUGUUGUUGUUGUUUCUCUUCAUCGAUCGGUAAAUUGCAUUUUUCUUUUUUGUUUAUUUAUUGCAAAUCAUUCCUGAAAUUUGAUUUCAUCGAAUCUAUUCGCUGAGAGAAUUAUUAUUAGGAACCUUUUCUCUAGCUUUUUUUUUUGUUUUUUUUUUUGUUUUUUUUCUUUUCUUUUCACAUAUACAAUUAUACGAAUUACACGUUGUAUCCUAUUCGUCAUAUCGGGACGAGAAAAGUAAGAGAAAUUGAUGUGUCGAGGAUUCGGGAAGAAUGGGUAAUGGGAAAUGAUAUUGAGAAAUAACUGAAUUUCACCUGUUAUUGCCGCGUACGCGUGCCUCGAUUCAACAGCUUCGUUCAUCGUGUGCAAGGUACUUACCACCUUGUACAUAUACACCAUACGUAACUAUAUAUAUAUAUCGAUCGAAGGACGAAAAAGUCUCCCGUUGCUUUGUCUUGCAAGGAAAUUCUAUACUCGCGAAACUCGUAUAUUUUGAAGAAAUAUUUUUUUGCGUAUAGAAUAUAUAGAACAUGUCGUACACGCGAAAUAAUUUUUUUCAAGGAGCGAAAUCAAUCCUCCCAGUUUCUAUAAAAUACAAUAUUCGCUUAGGAAUAUUUUUCACUCUUUCAUGCAGAAUGACGUAGCAUUAAAACGUUUUACACAUUUCAAAUCUAUCUUUAUGCAUCGCAUAAAGUUUCACGAUGAAAAAUUAAUCCGAGUCGAGGAAAAAAAA